GUAGUGGGGCAGUUCAGUCGCUAAGACAUUAGACUGCUGAUCAGACUAUCAUGAGUUCAAAUCCCAUCCACUGCU